UGUUUGAUGUUCUAACGUGGACCCGUUACCCGGGUUGCGGACAGUGUCUGGUGGGUAGUUUGACUGGGGCGGUCUCCUCCUAAAGAGUAACGGAGGAGCACGAAGGUUGGCUAAUCCUGGUCGGACAUCAGGAGGUUAGUGCAAUGGCAUAAGCCAGCUUGACUGCGAGCGUGACGGCGCGAGCAGGUGCGAAAGCAGGUCAUAGUGAUCCGGUGGUUCUGAAUGGAAGGGCCAUCGCUCAACGGAUAAAAGGUACUCCGGGGAUAACAGGCUGAUACCGCCCAAGAGUUCAUAUCGACGGCGGUGUUUGGCACCUCGAUGUCGGCUCAUCACAUCCUGGGGCUGAAGUAGGUCCCAAGGGUAUGGCUGUUCGCCAUUUAAAGUGGUACGCGAGCUGGGUUUAGAACGUCGUGAGACAGUUCGGUCCCUAUCUGCCGUGGGCGCUGGAGAACUGAGGGGGGCUGCUCCUAGUACGAGAGGACCGGAGUGGACGCAUCACUGGUGUUCGGGUUGUCAUGCCAAUGGCACUGCCCGGUAGCUAAAUGCGGAAGAGAUAAGUGCUGAAAGCAUCUAAGCACGAAACUUGCCCCGAGAUGAGUUCUCCCUGAGACUUAGAGUCUCCUGAAGGAACGUUGAAGACGACGACGUUGAUAGGCCGGGUGUGUAAGCGCAGCGAUGCGUUGAGCUAACCGGUACUAAUGAACCGUGAGGCUUAACCUU
rnacentral:rRNA from 1 species